UACUAUUUAGGAUUUCACACCUUCAGUUCAUUCUUGUUUUCUCGGAACUUUUCUCAGCCGCAAUGCGCACUCUUCAUCCUUCAAGUCUUCACAGUUCAUCCUUCAAUGUCUUCAUUCCAUCAGUAGUAGAAGUUGCACUUGUGCCAUUAUCAGGGCUUCUGAUAUAUAUAUAUGUUUGUUAAUAAAAGUUACAUUUUCCAUUACUAGAAGUUGCAUUUGUGCCAUUAACCGGGGAAUUUGGGUUAGCGGAUCAAACUAUGGCUAUGCUUGGAAUCUGACUAUGCAAACUUCAAUGAUUGAAAUUCAGAUUUCGAGGUUCCUUCAGUUUUUCUUUCAAUGGCUUCUAGCUCUCAUAUCCAGAGAUGGAUUGGGUACGAGGCAAGUAGGUGUUCAGAUGAACUACAGUUGCGUAUUGAUCCGAUGCAUGGGGACCUAGAUGACGAGAUUACAGGUCUCCGCAAACAAGUAAAACAGCUCAGAAAUGUAGCACAAGAAAUUGAGUCUGAAGCAAAGUUUCAGAAUGAUUUUAUUAACCAACUGAGUACUGACGAUAGAAAGGGGAGCAUAUUUACCUGGUCGCCGAAAGAUAAAUCUUCUGACUGAACUACACUGAGAGCGCAUCCUUCUACCCUUGCACAUUCCUCUGCAAAUAUAUCAGUCACAGCAGUCGUAUUCUUGAACGAGAUUAAGGCCACUGUAAUUCCUAGCCUUGCCGCACAUCAGGUCAAACACCUUUAGCAUACUGUCUUGCUUCAUUUGGCCGAGAUCAUGCCUCGUGACAAUGGCUUUCUCAAAACAGUAAGCAAAUUACAUAGAUCAAAGCUCAAGCAGGGGUGAAGAACAACACGAGACAGUUGAGCAGGAGCAUCAUCCUGGAAGGAUCAAACCAUAUGAUGCAUGUGAAGCUUGCUCCAGCUUGAUUAGCCUAACAUGAUCGAUGACUCUUCUAACCCAUUCUGUAAAAUAGGUCUCGUUGUGUCCGACCAUGCCAUCUUUAUGAAAAAGAAAGCACUGCAGACGAUCUUUGGGGGAUGGACACUCCUUUCCCAUUGGAUCCCACCAUGCACCCUGAUGUUUCAUCCCUGAUUGAUUUGCCAUCCAGUGUGAUUGCCUGGAACUACUGCAAGUAGGGUAAUGUGAAUAGCUCGUUGGUAUUAGUUGCUUGAAAGAUAGAUCGUCUGACUGAACUACUUGCAGAAUGCAGCCUUUCACUCUUGCACAUUCCUUUGCAAAUAUGUCAGUUACAGCAGGAUUAAUGCCACAGUAACUCCUAGCCUUGCAGCGCAACAAGUCGAAUACCUUCAGCUUAUUCUCCUGCCCCAUUUGACUUGUCUCAUGCCUCAUGACAACGGCUUUCUCAAAACAGUAAGUUCUCCCCAGUGGAAUAACACCCAUCUUGCUGGCUUCAAACACUUAUUUUUCAUUGACCAUCUCACAAAAGGAGCCACUGCAGAUAAUCCAUGCCAUAGAUUAUGGUGGUCGUAAUAUGUGUAGGAUACGAAUGUUAAGCCUUCCAAUAGAAUAGCAGAGUCGGGAAGACUUUCUCGCCAUGCCAAAGCAUAUGAAUUCUUUGUGCCAUCCUUAGUAUCCCGUCCCUUAAAGCAAAGAAGCCGUCCUUUGGAUGCUUUGGAAGGGAAAUACAAGUGUUCUGCUUCAUUUUCCUCGUGUGUAUCGUUCAAAGAGCUCAUAAACCAUGUGUGGCCAGUUGUGGCUGUUUCUCUAAAUCUAAGGUCCUGAAGGGGAAGGAAAGUGACAGAGUCUUUGAGCUUUGCCGUCAUGGUUUCCUUGACAUCAGAGUAAUUCUCUUGGGAACGAAAAGCACAUCUUUGAGACCUUGCUGAUAAAAAGAAAUCAAAAGGAUAUGAAUACUGGAUAUGGAAAAGGAUGACAAAAAGAAACAAGGUGAAAAAGAAGAUGCUGAUGAAUUUUGUGGUUAAAAAUUUGUUCUUGCUCCGAGUGCACAACUUCAGAUGAUGCUCCAUUUUCAUGAGUUUUGCUCGAUAUGAAUCUUUUUAACUGGCAAAGAGAAGCAACAUAAGACUAUUUCUCUGGCUUUUAGGAGCAAACCAGUCUCGAGAUUGGAAGUUAAUCUAUACUAUAACUAGUUACGGAUAUAUGCUCGGUGAAUACUUUAAUUCAGAAAUGGAGCCAUGUUUCGCGUUA